rnacentral:rRNA from 1 species
CUACCGGGGUUUCUAAUCCUGUUUGCUCCCCACGCUUUCGUGUCUCAGCGUCAGUAUCUGUCCAGUUGGCCGCCUUCGCCACCGGUGUUCCUCUCGAUAUCUACGAAUUUCACCUCUACACCGAGAAUUCCACCAACCUCUCCAGUACUCUAGCCUGCCAGUUUCGAGUGCACUUCCCGGGUUGAGCCCGGGGCUUUCACACCCGACUUAGCAGACCGCCUACACACGCUUUACGCCCAGUAAUUCCGAACAACGUUUGCACCCUCUGUCUUACCGCGGCUGCUGGCAC